AGCUUGGUGAUCCUAAAAAAAAAAACUACAUCCAGUCCACUGCUCUCCCCCGCGUCGAUCCCAUCCUCCUCUCCCCCGCAUCGCCGCUGGCCUCACCCCAACAGGCGCCACAAACGGCGACUUCGCCUCUCACCGCCACCCCCUCUCAUCCCCUCCCGUCGUGGAAGAUCGAGCGACAACCGCGGCGUGGGCGGGCGGCGCCAACACGCUGCUCUCGGCCGCGGAGCUGCUCCCGCCGGGCCACCCGGACCCGUCCGUCGCCUGCUCGCCUCCCGCGGCGUCUUCUCCGAGCACACAGCCGACGGAGGACGGAGGCCGGAGGGGGUACGCGCUUGUGCUGGCGUGGCCCCGGUUCCACAAGGCCAUGCUCGACCCCGCUGGCGCCGAGCCCUUCGCAUGCGCCCACUCCGGCGUCCCCGCCUACGCCUACUACGGACAUGACCGGGAGGCGAACGAGGUGAUGCACGACGACGAACAUCUACUCAAGGACAUCCUGCUCGGGGAUGCUCCUCUUCGUCAGCAUCUCCAGCGCGUGUCUGAGCCGAUGCAGCAGCGGUGAAGGCUUUGCUUGUGCUUGUGUGCAUGCAGGUCCAGAAGGGCAUGUUCCUUGACAGUGCUGCCAUGGACGUCUUGUUGGAUCGGCAGGGAAGAGGUUGGAAUCUGUUGCUUGUGUGUGUGUGUAUGCAGUCACCUGGAAUAUGUUUCUUGUGUGCACGAGGUUAUAAAAAUGAAGAAAUUGUGCAUAAUCCCUUCAAGCUAUCAUGUUUCCUAAAAACUUGACUCAAUUGUUUCUGAGUUUUAGUGGCAUUUAACCUGACAUUUUCUCUGUAUGAAGUCAUCAUGUGGUCAUUAACAAUCAUGCAGAUGCAACAAGUCUUGUUUAGUACAGCGUGGCAUAUUGUUGCAUUCAAGUGUAAUGUCAAUCACUGUGCUCUAUUGUCAUUUUUGUUGUGUUCUUCCUAUGCACAUGGAUGCAUCAGCACAUCAUAUCAUAUUGUGGUAAGUCACUUUUUUGUAUUGAAAGCUAGUAAUUGUGCACUGGUGAACAUGAUAUUGCCUCCAAUUCCGUUUUUAUCAUCUAAAUGUCUAAAUGAUAUGCCUUACUGGUGGCAGGUCAAGCCAGAGGUGAUGCACAUCCAUAGAGUCAUGGUCCAAACCGUACACGGCACUCACAUGCCAUGACCAUCGUCAUCUUGUCGGUCAAGCGGAAGUAGUGGCUAUUGCUCCACCACAGAAGCAAAUGUGUGAGGUCUUAUUACCCUUGCUGUAUUCUGAAACCUCCCACGUGUAAUUAUUAACAUUUUUUUGUUAGUCCAGUGUUUGAGUUAGUAAGGUACUUCGAUACGUUCAAUGCUGUGCAAACAUACUCUAGUGAUGCUAUUGGAACAUAUUGGGCAUCUUCUCAUGCAUGACUGAACUGCUGUAGCUAAUCAUGAAAUUUAGUCGGGUUUGUUUUUUGGGUACACUUUUAGGUGGAUCUGAGUUUUCACCAUAACAACCUGUAUUUGAUUCUUAAGGUUUCACUGUCAGAAUUCAAAGUAGUAUAAGAAACCUACAGUUAUUGCCAUCUUAUGGAAACAACCUAACUGAUUCAUGUAUGUGACCUAGAUAUCAUUUUAUUCUAACCAGAUGGAAAUUGAAAAUCUUAGCCGAUUGAGCAUUUCGACCAACUACGAUACUUGGAGGUACUAUAACCUGAAGAAGUGCCUUGAACUAUAAUCUGAAAAUGACCAAUAUUCCGCUGAUGGUGUUGAACGAUUAAAUGCUUGUAAACCAUCUAAAAUUGUAAUCUCAUUUGCAUUGAUAUCAAUUUCAUGAUUGCUUAAACCCUCUGUAAGUACUAUGUCUGAAAAGUAUAGGUUAUGUUUUACAAGCAAUAACAUCGGUAACUACAGGUUGAACCCUCUAAUUUAUGUCAGCUACAGGAUGAUCAACCAAAAGGAAACAGAGCCCCCUGAUCUGUGUCGUGAAGAUGAACCUGAUUGACCAAAGAUUCGCCUGGGCGCACCAAUGAGGCGAGCUGAAAACACCUUCUACUUACUUGCAGGAAAGAAGUGUUCCUGCGCAGGGAUGAAUGAUGAACCUGAUUGGCCAAAUUGAUGAGUAGUACUCCCUCUGUAAACUAAUAUAAGAGCGUUUAGAUCACUAAAAUAGUAAUCUAAACACUCUUAUAUUAGUUUACGGAGGGUGUAUAAGAAACCUUCAGCAAACGAAGCGUUUGUGGCAGGGAUCGCUGGGGAGUUUUAACCAUCGCCGAGAAUCAAGGCUUGCAACACCGCCCAGGGGACACGGAGAAUCAAGGCUCGCCGCCCCACUGAGAAGAUUUUUAACGGACACGGAGAAUCAAGGCUCGCCGCCCCACUGAGGAGAAGAUUUCUAACGAUAUGGAAAGUUUGAUGCGCUGGCAGGAAAAGAAUCAGGCCUCCAUUAGAAAGAGUAUAUCCUAGAUCGCCCGUGCAAGCUAUUACAAGGGACUAGCAAACAUGCCCGUGCGUUGCAACGGGAAAGAAAAGCGCUUGUCCCUGACCUGAUAAGCACAACGUUCGUGCUUCACUAUGGAGAAAACACCAGUUGUCAUGAA